GAUGAACGCUGGCGGCGUGCCUAAUACAUGCAAGUCGAGCGAACAGACGAGGAGCUUGCUCCUCUGACGUUAGCGGCGGACGGGUGAGUAACACGUGGAUAACCUACCUAUAAGACUGGGAUAACUUCGGGAAACCGGAGCUAAUACCGGAUAAUAUAUUGAACCGCAUGGUUCAAUAGUGAAAGACGGUUUUGCUGUCACUUAUAGAUGGAUCCGCGCCGCAUUAGCUAGUGGGUAAGGUAACGGCUUACCAAGGCGACGAUGCGUACCCGACCUGAGAGGGUGAUAGGCCACACUGGAACUGAGACACGGUCCAGACUCCUACGGGAGGCAGCAGUAGGGAAUCUUCCGCAAUGGGCGAAAGCCUGACGGAGCAACGCCGCGUGAGUGAUGAAGGUCUUCGGAUCGUAAAACUCUGUUAUUAGGGAAGAACAAAUGUGUAAGUAACUAUGCACGUCUUGACGGUACCUAAUCAGAAAGCCACGGCUAACUACGUG
rnacentral:rRNA from 1 species